GGCCUAGUGGUGUAUGGUGCACACUUGCGAUGCGUAGAUGGGUUCAAGUAUUUAGCAGGAGGACCCGGUUCGAUCCCGGGUUAGGUCA